CUCUGUUUCAGAAACCUGGACAAUCCAUCCUGACGCUGCGUGUGUGAUGAACUGCUUGUCGCACGUUUCGUCAUACGCAACCGCCAUUUUCAGAACGAAGGGUCGGUUCGUGGCGAUGAGUUUUCUGUACAGACCUUGUUCGUGGAAAAGAAAAUUGGACCUUUCGUGUGGGGUGAAGUGCAUCAACUUAGAAUCAACUUGAUUCCAUGUUCAGCUCUGCUGAUCUCGAAGCAAAGCCGGCAGCAGCAUCAGCAGCAAGACGACAUAGUCUCGUUCACCGAGGAAGUCAGAAGCUGAACCGGUUGUGGAGCUGGCAAAAGAUGCCUUCUAUGUAGUGCGCAAAGGAGAUAUUGUUGGUGUUUAUAAGAGUUUCGGCGAUUGUCAGGCUCAGCUUAGUUCUUCGAUAUUUGAUCCUCCGAUUAGUGUGUACAAAGGGUACUCUUUGCCUAAGGACACUGAAGAGUAUCUUGGUUCAUGUGGACUUACGAAUGCCAUUUACACAAUCGCGGCUGCAGAUUUGAAGGACGAUAUUUUUGGCAAGCUUAUGCAUUCCCCUUUUCAAGAUCCAGCAUCUUUGCAAGGUGGAGCAUCUGUCACGGAUGCGCUUGAAAGGAGAUCCCAUGAAGUGCCUGCAUCAGAUAAUUUGCUGCACUGAAAGUAUUGUCAUACUUGCCUUUCCCUUACUCUGCUUUAAGCGCAUUCAUGGUAAUCCCAACUCCUCAGAGAGAGGUUGUCAAUGAUUAUGUUGCCAAACGGCGCUAUGACAUCUUCGGCAAGUCUGAAGAUUGCUUAGUCUUGCAAGAGAAAGAGUUGCUGGAGCGUUUCAUUGAUAGGGAAGAGAUAAUGUAUCGAGCUCGAUCAGAUUUUUAAUUAGCUCCCAUAAAUCUAGCUAUCACCUACGUUUUGGUUAUGGUUGAUAUAAAGAAAUGAAAUAAAAUAUAUCAUUCUGUAUACAAUGUGCCCAUUUUGAUUACCACAAU